rnacentral:rRNA from 1 species
ACAAGCGGUGGAGCAUGUGGUUUAAUACGUCACUAACCGUAGAACCUUACCCAGGCUUGACAUCUGGGGAAUCCUGGUGAAAGCCGGAGUGCUUCGUAAGAAGAACCCCAAGACAGGUGUUGCAUGGCUGUCGUCAGCUCGUGUCGUGAGAUGUUGGGUUAAGUCCCGCAACGAGCGCAACCCUCAUCCGAUGUUGCCAGCGUAAAGUCGGGAACUCUUCGGAAACUGCCCGUGUAAGCGGGAGGAAGGUGGGGAUGACGUCAAGUCAGUAUGGCCCUUACGCCUGGGGCUACACACAUGCUACAAUGGACGUUAACAAUGGGCAGCAAUACCGCGAGGUGGAGCUAAUCUCAAAAAUACGUCCUCAGUUCGGAUUGUAGUCUGCAACUCGACUACAUGAAGUCGGAAUCGCUAGUAACCGCAGGUCAGCUAAACUGCGGUGAAUACGUUCCCGGGCCUU